rnacentral:ncRNA from 1 species
AAAGACUUAGUCCUAACCUUACCGUUAGUUCUUGCUAAACAUAUACAUGCAAGUAUCCGCGCCCCAGUGUAAAUGCCCCCAACCUCUUACCAAGACAAAAGGAGCAGGUAUCAGGCACACCACCGCAGUAGCCCAAGACACCUUGCUCAGCCACACCCCCACGGGUACUCAGCAGUAAUUAACAUUAAGCAAUAAGUGUAAACUUGACUUAGUUAUAGCAACACUUUAAGGGCUGGUAAAUCUUGUGCCAGCCACCGCGGUCAUACAAGAAGCCCCAAUUAACUGUCACACGGCGUAAAGAGUGGCCCUCAUACUAUCAUACUGACUAGGGGUAAAAUGCAACUAAGCUGUCAUAAGCCCAAGAUGCACAAAAGCUCGCCCUUAACACGACCCUAGCGUCAAUUGACCGACUCCCGCCACGAAAGCCAGGGCACAAACUGGGAUUAGAUACCCCACUAUGCCUAGCCUUAAAUCCAGGUGCUUACAGCAUACCAAAGCACCCGCCAGGGUAUUACGAGCACAAACGCUUAAAACUCUAAGGACUUGGCGGUGCCCCAAACCCACCUAGAGGAGCCUGUUCUAUAAUCGAUAACCCACGAUUCACCCGGCCGCCCCUAGCCAAAGCAGCCUACAUACCGCCGUCACCAGUCCACCUUCCUUGAAAGCCGAAUAGUGGACACAAUAGCCCAAACCCGCUAACAAGACAGGUCAAGGUAUAGCUUAUGUGGCGGAAGAAAUGGGCUACAUUCUCUAAAAUAGAGCACCCACGGAAAGAGAUAUGAAACCUAUCCCUAAAAGGCGGAUUUAGCAGUAAACCAGAAUGAGAAUGUCUGAUUUAAGCCGGCCCUGGGGCACGUACAUACCGCCCGUCACCCUCCUCACAAGCUAAUAACCUACAUAACUAAUACCUAUACUUGCUGAAGAUGAGGUAAGUCGUAACAAGGUAAGUGUACCGGAAGGUGUACUUAGCAUAC